GACAGAGGGUGCAAACGUUGCUCGGAAUUACUGGGCGUAAAGCGCGUGUAGGCGGUUCCGCAAGUCAGGUGUGAAAGCCCAGGGCUCAACCCUGGAAGUGCACUUGAUACUACGGAGCUUGAGUACUGAAGAGGAGAGCGGAAUUCCCGGUGUAGAGGUGAAAUUCGUAGAUAUCGGGAGGAACACCAGUGGCGGAAGGCGGCUCUCUGGCUCGGUACUGACGCUCAGG
rnacentral:rRNA from 1 species